AGAGUUAGUAAGAAACUUUGAGCGAAAGUGAGUGAGUGUUCUCUCUAAAAGUGUUCAUCAUUUGUAGAUUGUCUUAAUAAAACUUUCUUUCUUCCAAGUGAGUGUCUCUUCCUUUAGUGCCAAUUUCUUCAACGAGUGGUAUCGGAGUAAGUUGAUCGUGGAGUGCAUUCAUCACUACAUGAUGAUGGGUGACCUUCAAGUUGUUGGAGGAAUUAAGAAGCUUAACACUCAGAAUUACAAAACAUGGUCCACAUCUGCAUAAAGUCAUAUCUCUAAGGUCAAGACUUGUGGGAUGUUGUAGGAGGCACUAAAGUUAAUCCACCUGAAGAUACUGCUACUUUGAAGAAAUGGAAUAUCAAGGCAAGUAAGGCUAUGUUUGCAAUUAAAACUACAAUUGAUGAAGAAAUGUUGGAGCCAUUAGUAUUAUGGAGACACCAAAAAAAAGCAUGGGACGCAUUCACCUCACUCUUUUCAAAGAAGAAUGAUGCAAGAUUGUAGUUUUUAAAGAACGAGCUCCUAUCAAUUUCUCAAAGAGAGAUGACUAUCAAUCAAUAUUUCACCAAGGUAAAAUCUCUAUGUCGUGAAAUCUCUAAAUUAGAUCUUACCUCAGCUAUUUCAGAGUCAAAAAUGUUGGAAAAAACAUCAUAGAAAUAUGCAUAAGCGGAAGACUAGGAUCAUGGUUUACUCUAUAUGCAUCUAAACGAUUUAGAAAUUAACAUGCUACAACUAAACGAUGGUCCUAAA